rnacentral:lncRNA from 1 species
CAAAGUUCACAUAGAGCUAAAAAUGUGGUACCAAAAAAAUCACACUCGACAAGUGUAGCCGAAAACUAUCACAAGUCAGCUGUGUUGCAAGGGAUCGAUGAUGAUACUGGCCCACAAGGUUCUAGUUCGUAUUCGCCAACUCGUUCUCAGAAUCCCAAAAACCUACCAACACAUCUGAUAAGUGGACCACAAUUGGCAAAAGAUGAGAAUAUUGUAAGAAUGUUAAAGUCUCUCAG